rnacentral:rRNA from 1 species
UACGGAGGAUGCCAGCGUUAUCCGGAUUUAUUGGGUUUAAAGGGUGCGUAGGCGGACUGUCAAGUCAGCGGUAAAAUUGAGAGGCUCAACCUCUUCCCGCCGUUGAAACUGGUGGUCUUGAGUGGAUGAGAAGUACGCGGAAUGCGUGGUGUAGCGGUGAAAUGCAUAGAUAUCACGCAGAACUCCGAUUGCGAAGGCAGCGUACCGGCAUCCAACUGACGCUGAGGCACGAAAGCGUGGGGAUCAAACAGG